rnacentral:rRNA from 1 species
UACGUAGGGUGCAAGCGUUGUCCGGAAUUAUUGGGCGUAAAGAGCUCGUAGGCGGUCUGCUGCGUCGGCUGUGAAAACCCGGGGCUCAACCCCGGGCCUGCAGCCGAUACGGGCAGACUAGAGUUCGGCAGGGGAGACUGGAAUUCCUGGUGUAGCGGUGAAAUGCGCAGAUAUCAGGAGGAACACCGGUGGCGAAGGCGGGUCUCUGGGCCGAUACUGACGCUGAGGAGCGAAAGCGUGGGGAGCGAACAGG